UUAUGGUCGAGGUGAGCUAACCUGCGUCGCAUCUUCAUUCUCACCCUCAAGCUCGAGCUUUUGUCGUUUUGUACGAUCAGCUAUUGACAAUAAAAAGUCGGCCAAAAUAUCCCUGCACGCGAGCAAACUUCCUUACACGAACGAAAGGAGGUCAGCCUAAGCAGCGGAGCACACAGAGAUUCUCAAUUCGAUCAACAUAUGAGCUGCAGCUCACCUAGUAUGAGUCGUAGAGAAGAAAACUAUGGUAUUCGGAGACGUAAACAACCCCGCGCGACGCUUCGCAAAAGAAGUGUCAGUUUGAACAUUCAACCUGCUUACUCGUGGAAAUCCACAAGAACAUAUCGAAAACCGCACUAUGAAAUUUCUGAAUGGAGAGUAUUAAUGUUUCCUCUAAUCCUUUACUUCCGCGAGUGUCCACAGUAAAAUCACACACGCAUCGCGAUUUUCCCAGCCGCGAGUGUCCACAAAAAAUACAACAAAUUACAAUAGAUGUUCGUUAUGUCCCUCGUUUUCUUGUAAACAGAUCCUGACUCUUCUCUUAAAAUUUUGCUGUAUUGUGUUUUCAUGUGUCUCAGUAGUAAAAAUCGAGAGGAUUUAAAUCUGGUGACUGAGCAGACCAAAACACAGGUCUUCUUCAACCGAUCUACCAUCCUGUUUCCAAAACAACUGGUCAAGUGCUCUUGCAGUACACGCACUACGCGCACUGAAUAUACAAUACACUCAAUUUCUUGCUUCAAAAUAGCUAAAACAUGGUAGUGUAAUGAUGGAGAGUUCAUUCAGAAAGAAAAAUUUACGGUACUCAUUACCGAUGAUUUCAUUUUCUUUGUAUAACUCGGAAUUAUUCAAGAACAGUUAUGAUAUUUAAGAAGUUCUUUUUGAAAGCAAGGGUACGAUAUUGAGGAAGCGAAGAGGCUGUAUACAAAAGUGUUUAAAAAAACCUAUUUUACACAAUCUUUAAACUUUAUAUAGCUAGAGAUUUAUUAGAUAUGCUCAUUGAAAAAGUGGACUUUCUGUUUAUCAAAUGGGUUUCGGAAAUAUCUCAAUUCUUCAAGCCUUAUUGUCUUCAGUUUUUAUGACCAUAACGUGUUUUAAACAUGGAAAGAAAAAAGUUAGAAGAAUGCUCUAAGAAAGCUCUAGUAUAGAAAAGAAGCAUAACUAUCGCAUUUAUUAUUUAUUUUGAAGCAAACAUUGUGACUAUAUUCAUGGAAUAAUAUAAAAUAUUAAUUUAACAUUGACAAGUGUUGAAAAACCGACUAUAAGUUUUUCGAACUUUCGCAUAUAUACUUUUGCUACGUUGCGGCGGACGGGAAUAAUGCAAAAGUGCGACGUUUAUACGUUGAAAAAUAUCCCAACAGGACUAUACUCGGCGCACAGACAUUUUGUGAUAUAGCUCUAUAGCUAUAUGGGAUAAUACGACUAUGGGCACAUUAAAACCUGUCUUAUCUGGCAUACGAAUUCAAUACGACGACACGGACCUGGGAGAUAGAACACUGCACCGUAUUCAACAAAAUCCCAAUUUGAGUACGAGAACUAUUACUGCUGAAAAAGGUGCCAGCAACAGCAUCGUAUGGUCAGUAUUGAAGGGAGAAAAUCUAUACCCGUAUAGUAUCCAGAAAGUUCAACAGCUAAGAAUGAAUGAGUAGGAAAGUCCAACGCGAUCCCAAUUUCUCCGCCAGAAUAUUAUUUACUGAUGAGGCAAAGUUUAACAAAUAUGCAAUCACAGAUAUGCGUAACGAACAUUUCUGGUUAUAGGACAAUCGCGGUGCGUGUGUGAUUUUGCUGUGGACACUCGCAGAGGCAAAGGAUUAGAGGAAACAUUAAUCUCCUCUACUCGGAAAUUUCAUAGGGUGGCUUUUGAUAUACUCUUAUGGAUUUCCACGAGUAAGCAGGUUUAAUGUUUAAUCUACCAUUUCUUUUGCGAAACGUCGCGCGGGGUUGUUUACGUCUCCGAAUACCACGGUUAACUUAUAGGAGGUAAACUGUCGCUCAUAUGUCGACCGAAUUGAGGAUCACUGUGCGCCCCGCUGCUUAGGUUGACCUCCUUUCGUUCAUGUAAGAAAGUUUGCACGUGUGCAGGGAUAUUUUGUCCGAUUUUUGAUUGUCAAUAACUAAAAAUUAAAACCGAAAAUGCAAUUUUUGUAUUCUUGCUUUUCGUCUUAUUUCGGCGUUAAGAAUCACUCCUUAAAUUAUAUAGAAACAGUAGCCGAACACCCUGUAUAUUUAUACCUUUUAAAUUAAUAUAGAAAGGAUCUGUAACUAGAAUUAUGGCUUUAGGAAGAUAAACUUUAUAUAUAUGUGUAUAUUCGAAGAAUUUAACAAAAAAAGGACAAUCUUUUUCUAAGAAAAUUCACGAUAUUUAUAGUUCUAUUACCUAUUGCCUCUUGUAAUUCUAUUACCUACAUUAAUCUUCAAUAUUUUCAUUCUAAAUACUUGUAAUAGAGUUAAUAAUAUUUUUAUA
rnacentral:lncRNA from 1 species